AGCAGUACCGCGGUAAUACGAAGGGUGCAAGCGUUAAUCGGAAUUACUGGGCGUAAAGCGUGAGUAGGCGGUGAGUUAAGUCUGCUGUGAAAUCCCCGGGCUCAACCUGGGAAUGGCAGUGGAUACUGGCUCGCUAGAGUGUGUCAGAGGAUGGUGGAAUUCCCGGUGUAGCGGUGAAAUGCGUAGAGAUCGGGAGGAACAUCAGUGGCGAAGGCGGCCAUCUGGGACAACACUGACGCUGAGGCACGAAAGCGUGGGGAGCAAACAGGAUUAGAUACCCCGGUAGUCCCUGUCUCUUAUACA
rnacentral:rRNA from 1 species